GUCUUUUAGAUUAUAAUUUAAAGUCUAACCUGCCCAAUGAAAUUUUAAAUGGCUGCAGUAUUUUGACUGUACAAAGGUAGCAUAAUAAUUAGUUUUUUAAUUGAAAGCUGGUAUGAAAGGUUGAACGAAAAAAUUACUGUCUCAAUUUAAUUUAAUUAGAAUUUUAUUUUUUAGUUAAAAAGCUAAAAUUUUUUUUAAAGACGAGAAGACCCUAUAGAGUUUUAUAUUUAAUUUAUAUUUUUUGUAGAAUUUUUUUAUAAAGUAUAAUAUUUUAUUGGGGUGAUAUAUAAAUUUAAAAAACUUUAAUUUUUAAAAACAUUAAUUUAUGAUUAGUUGAUCCAUUUAAAUGAUUAAAAGAUUAAAUUACCUUAGGGAUAACAGCGUAAUUUUUUUAAAGAGUUCUAAUCGAAAAAAAAGAUUGCGACCUCGAUGUUGGAUUAAAAUUUAAAUUUGGUGUAGAAGCUAAAUAAUUAGGUCUGUUCGACCUUUAAAAUUUUACAUGAUCUGAGUUUAAAUCGGUGUGAGCCAGGUUGGUUUCUAUCUUAAAAUUUUUAAAAUAUUUUAGUACGAAAGGACCAAAUAUUUAUAAUAUUUAUUUAAUUUUGUAUAC
rnacentral:rRNA from 1 species